AAUAAGAUUGGUUUAUAUGUCCAACGUUUGACCUUCGUCUUAUUUAAAAAUAUUUUAUGAUUAGUAUUUUUAUUGUUAUUAGAUGAUAAAAUAUAAAUGGUACUUUAUACGUGACUUAAUUUGAUUUAAUUUUUUCAUAAAAUUUUCAAAUAAGACGAACAAUCAACCUUGUACAGAGAAAUCUACAAAUGAACUUAUU
rfam:Oryza glumipatula chromosome 9, whole genome shotgun sequence.